rnacentral:lncRNA from 1 species
GCAUUUUUAUAUAUAUAUAUAUUAUUUUUUUUUUGAGUAGGAUGCACUUUAUUGUUAAAAUGUGCACAUCUUGAAAGACUUGUGUACUCUUUCAGAUUGAAAACAGCAAACAAAUAAUGAGAUGAAAGUUAGGAAGGCAGCUCUAUAGGAUUACCUCUAUUGCUUAACUUACCAAUUUAUCUGCUCUACACCCAGAUUUUGGGAUUCCAGAAGAGGUGAAAACACAUUUGCCUGUCAAGGUGAAUCUACCUACAUUAACAUUCAGUGUGAAGAAAGGAGUGUGCUGGCUCUGCCUGGAUGUCACACCAGAAAGCUGCGUACCUGUGGCACCACCUUUCCCUUCUGGAUGAGGUGAGGUCCCUUCCACUUGGCUCACUUUUAUCAGAGCAUAAUUUAAACACUGGUCACUGGAGACAAAGAGAAACAUAAAUAAACUCCAGAAUACACGUGAGAAACUCUGCUGGGAGGAGGUAAGAAGAAAUGUUUUCUCCUGAAAACCCAUGUUCUCCAGAGUAACUCUUGUAGUUUCUGCUGUCCAGGUUUAGAUGAAGGAGCUACUAAGGAGCAAGAGACAGUACGACAAGAGACAGAGGAGAAAAGGUAUUUGCUCAUAUUAAAGAAAAAGUGGCAAAACUUGUGUUUCUUUACAUUUUAACCCUUUGUUUAUGUUCAUCGCUGUAUUCACAAAGUGGGACAGGAG